CGCUCGCCGCCUCUUUGUCUGCUCCGGGACUUGGAACAAAAGGGGGAACUUGAUGAACUCUCCUCCUCCCCUCUUCCCCGGACGCCCGGGUAUCUCCCUCUCACAACUUUGCCGACGCGACUUUCUCCGCUGUCAGGCCACCCGAAAGUGUCCGAGCGCCUCGCGGGACUGCGUCGAGGGAAACAGUGUCCCUUGAAAGUGCGACGGAGGGGAGAAGGAGGUGUGAUUAAUAUGAGCAUCUGGGAGCGUGGAGCAGGGCCUGCAGUACUUCCUACCACUGGCCUUCCGUGUUCUGGAUCAUUCUUACUGGAUCUAUCAGCAAACAGCAUGCAAGUGCCAGCGUCCAAUCAUUCCUGCAUGGAAUGCCAUCAGACUUCCUCAGUUGGAGUUACUUAAAAGUUAAAUUGUUGGGAUUUUUGAUAAUGCCUUUCCCAUGUGGAUUACUACAAUUUGAUGGCUCGGAACUCUCCACUCAGAAGGUGACCUGACCGCAGAAGUGCUAACUCCUGUUUAUUCAGGAAAGACUUCCGACUGGGGAAGACUUCCAGGUGCAGCAUUUCUGGUUCCUUCGAGAGGGUGAGGAGAGCCUGCAGGCAUGCUGUGCACCUCUGCAAUUGCUAGUCCCAGGGUCACAGCAAGUGGAAGUGCAGAGCACCACAAACUGCUUUGAGCAGAGCCCACUUCCUUCAUCCCGGAGAGCAUGGAGCCGUUACACCAACAUCAAUCAAGGGGGACCCAGGCGCUGCACUCACACAGUUGAAGCAGGGGAGCAAAUCGAAGACUCACCCAGGAGCAGAGUGCUUUUGAGACAGAGGAAGAAGACAAAACAGCUCCCAGCUCAGCUUCUCUUGCCAUAUUCAGGAAUCACCACACGUGCUGUUAUAUUGGGCCUCAUUUUGUUUCCCUUUCCCCAACACCUGUGUGCUGUGCUUGUGGUGAGUCUUCACAGCCAAGUACAAUUUUUCCAGUUCAACUCCACUGAUCACUAUCAACAAGAAAGUGUAAGAGCUCAGAAGUCAUCUUGGAGGCCCCAGGCGAAGACCAGUCCUGCAACCUUGGAAGGCAGCUAUGGUCACCACUAUACCACCAACGCCACACCAGUCAUGCAACCUUGGGAUGUGCAGGGUUUGGGCAGCCAAGGCUUGCUGCACUAACCCUUUGCUGCAUGUGUUUCAACAGUGCCAUUUACUUGAUGAAUGUCUCUUUUCCGGCAGAUGACAUGAGAACAGUGCUUGUAACUGUUUCUGCUCAGCAUGAUAUUCAGAACCCUUAACAUGGUUACUGACAUACAGGAGGUGUCUGUAUUUGUUGAAUAAAUGAAUAAAGGAGUAAUGUCUACUUUCUGUUGUCAUUAUUUCCUUUCAUAAUAUACCAUAUUCCAUG
rnacentral:lncRNA from 1 species